GUAUGGCUGAAGUUGGGCGGCAGCCGCGGCGAGCAGCACGGGGGCGGGAGCUCUCAGCCUGAAGGGCGAUGGUCCCCUGCAAGCAGAUCAAGUGAGGGCGGACCAUCCACUGAGUCUGUGCAAGCUUGGGGGUUGAACGUCUGCGCCACAGAAUGGCGUCUGGGGAAAGACGUGCAAUGAAGACUUGUAUCGGCUGUGCCGUCGUGCUCGCGACCUUCCUGUCGACGGGCGCGUCGGCUCAGACACCACAGGAAAAUACUCCGGUCCGAGUUGCGCCCCAGGCGCUGGCUGCCGAGCUCGAGCACUCGUGGGGGCCGGCCGUCGCGCAGGCAGCGAUAACAGGCCCGCCCGAGGUCCCG